CAUUAACUGAAUCCAUAGGUUAAUGAGGCGAACCGGGGGAACUGAAACAUCUAAGUACCCCGAGGAAAAGAAAUCAACCGAGAUUCCCCCAGUAGCGGCGAGCGAACGGGGAGGAGCCCAGAGCCUGAAUCAGUGUGUGUGUUAGUGGAAGCGUCUGGAAAGGCGCGCGAUACAGGGUGACAGCCCCGUACACAAAAAUGCACAUAUUGUGAGCUCGAUGAGUAGGGCGGGACACGUGGUAUCCUGUCUGAAUAUGGGGGGACCAUCCUCCAAGGCUAAAUACUCCUGACUGACCGAUAGUGAACCAGUACCGUGAGGGAAAGGCGAAAAGAACCCCGGCGAGGGGAGUGAAAAAGAACCUGAAACCGUGUAC
rnacentral:rRNA from 1 species